rnacentral:rRNA from 1 species
GGGUUGUGAGGUUAAGCGACUAAGCGUACACGGUGGAUGCCCUGGCAGUCAGAGGCGAUGAAGGACGUGCUAAUCUGCGAUAAGCGUCGGUAAGGUGAUAUGAACCGUUAUAACCGGCGAUUUCCGAAUGGGGAAACCCAGUGUGAUUCGUCACACUAUCAUUACGUGAAUACAUAGCGUAAUGAAGCGAACCGGGGGAACUGAAACAUCUAAGUACCCCGAGGAAAAGAAAUCAACCGAGAUUCCCCCAGUAGCGGCGAGCGAACGGGGAGCAGCCCAGAGUCUGAAUCAGCUUGUGUGUUAGUGGAACGGUCUGGAAAGUCCGACGGUACAGGGUGAUAGUCCCGUACACCAAAAUGCACAGGUUGUGAACUCGAAGAGUAGGGCGGGACACGUGGUAUCCUGUCUGAAUAUGGGGGGACCAUCCUCCAAGGCUAAAUACUCCUGACUGACCGAUAGUGAACCAGUACCGUGAGGGAAAGGCGAAAAGAACCCCGGCGAGGGGAGUGAAAAAGAACCUGAAACCGUGUACGUACAAGCAGUGGGAGCAUCCUUUUGGGUGUGACUGCGUACCUUUUGUAUAAUGGGUCAGCGACUUAUAUUCUGUAGCAAGGUUAACCGUAUAGGGGAGCCGAAGGGAAACCGAGUCUUAACUGGGCGUUAAGUUGCAGGGUAUAGACCCGAAACCCGGUGAUCUAGCCAUGGGCAGGUUGAAGGUUGGGUAACACUAACUGGAGGACCGAACCGACUAAUGUUGAAAAAUUAGCGGAUGACUUGUGGCUGGGGGUGAAAGGCCAAUCAAACCGGGAGAUAGCUGGUUCUCCCCGAAAGCUAUUUAGGUAGCGCCUCGUGAA